AUUGAACGCUGGCGGCAGGCUUAACACAUGCAAGUCGAGCGAGCGGCGGACGGGUGAGUAAUGUAUGGGAAACUGCCUGAUGGAGGGGGAUAACUACUGGAAACGGUAGCUAAUACCGCAUACCAUCAGAUGUGCCCAGAUGGGAUUAGCUAGUAGGUGGGGUAAUGGCUCACCUAGGCGACGAUCCCUAGCUGGUCUGAGAGGAUGACCAGCCACCCUGGAACUGAGACACGGUCCAGACUCCUACGGGAGGCAGCAGUGGGGAAUAUUGCACAAUGGGCGCAAGCCUGAUGCAGCCAUGCCGCGUGUGUGAAGAAGGCCUUCGGGUUGUAAAGCACUUUCAGCGGGGAGGCGUUACUGGCAGAAGAAGCACCGGCUAACUCCGUGCCAGCAGCCGCGGUAAUUC
rnacentral:rRNA from 1 species